GUAAACCAUUUGCUUGUCCUUCUCCUGUUUUGCUGUUCAUUUCAUGGCAGAGGGAAGAUGUGUUUAGAGAUAGAGGGGGCAAUAAAGGAUCAUUCUUUGCUGAUGUGCACUGAGAAAUCUCAGUGCCCGAAGGAGUUGCACUGCAGUGCACAGUCCCUGCACUGUACCUAUUCCUUGGAACUCCUCUCAAAGGAAGCACCUGUUCAUAGCUGCUUUGGACACAUGUCCAAGGUGGCUUGUUCUUAAGGACAGCAUAUUGUUUCCCCUUCUGAAUGUAAUUGAAUUCAGCCCUGACAAAGCUAAAUGAAGUGGUUGCUGUUGCUGCCAAAUGUGAUUAAGAACAGAAAGCUCUCUGAGUAAAGCGAAAGUGAAACCCCAGGAGUUCUUAAUUCUCUUGAUUUCUGACAAAUUUGUGGAAAGCUGGCUCUCUAAUCCUCAGACAGUUCUGCUUGGAUCCCUCUGCACUGUCGAACUCCCGCUAUGCCUGUGUCACAUGUAGAUCAGACAGGAAGGUCAGUGAGCAGAUCAUGCAGUCUCUACAUGCCCUGAGUUAGUGGCCUCAUAAAUACACUUUUGGCUGGUUCCAAACUGAAUCACUAGGGUCCAAGGGAGGCAGUCCAUAAUGAUGCGUUGUUUGCCUGGUUGAUGCUCUGCAUUUGUCUCCAACUUGCAGGGCUCAUGGUAAAUUCUUUGCUCAGUAGUGGGUUUUGCGUCUGUCAGUGGAUGGUUGGACUAGAUGAUCUAAGAGGUCUUUUCCAACCUUACUGAUUCUAUGAUUCUUUGAUUGCAUUUCUAUUUUGUGCUGACAGGGAGAAUGUCUACGUCUGUGUCUGUGUUACAAGGCUGAGCAGCCAUGUUCCUGGACCUUGAAGAGCACUCAGGCAUCAGCCUCUUCAAGUUGUUGCCUGGAGGGAUUAUGCCUUUGAAGAUAUGGCAUGAAGAGAUAGAAGCUUGAACUGAAAAACUUAUUGCAGUUUAUUGCCAAAUCAUGACAGCCAGCCAUCAUCAGCCAUGACAUACUUCAGAGACAAUCCAAAUGCUCUCUCCAGAUAUCGUCAUGGAAGAAGCAGCAUUUUGUGGAAUCACAGCUUGUGCAUUUUUGUCCUUAUACAACUCUGUGAAAUGUGACAGUGCCAAGAAGUUGCAUCUGGUUUAUACCAAGGAAGCUAAAGAGGUGACUUGAUCACCGCCUUCAAGUACAAGCUUUGUCUGCAGGGGGGCUGUCUGUUUCUAAUACUUGGUGCUGCAGAUUGGCAGGUGAGGUGAUAUGGAAGGGAAUGCUCAGCAGCCCUACCCAGCCACAACUAGAGGAGUCAGAACUGAACAGCUCCAGAAGCCAACUGCUCUGUGGUCUUAUCCACUGAGAUGUGCCACGGUCAGCUUGUUCUCCCUCUGCCUCAGAUCUACUGCAAAUGGAACCAUUUGGAAUGCAGCCUAAAUCCCACUGGAGCAAUUGGGAUGCAGAUGGCAAGGAAAGCUGAAGGGCAUUUGGAUACAUGCUGUCCCAUGGAUGUCUAAAUGGGAGAGAAGGUCUUCUAGAAGCACAUGAAGGACCCUAGAGGAGACAAGCGUUGGGAAAAAAAAUGUGUCAGAACAUCUGAAAUGCCUCCUUCAUUGUCCCAGGUUUUCAUCUGAUUUAGUGUUCCGAGAGGUCCUAACACAUCUUCUAUCUUUUGUCAGCUUUGGGAGCACUUACUUAACCUAUAUCAGCAUGACUCAAAACAACAUCAAUGUUUGUCUCUGGAGUGAAAAGAAAUAAUGUGCUUUGUUCAGCUGCUUCCUAUUCAAAGAGAAAUCACACUGGGAAGCAGAAGUUGCUGUAAAGGGGAGAGGUUCUGCAACCGACUCACUGGAAAAGGGGGAGAACAGUGCACAAAAGAACCUGCGGAUAUCCUGGUGGAUUUCAGGAAGGCCGGAUGGACAGCGUUUCCAUAAUUUGCAGAAUGUCCUCAUGUGAAGCACAGUCAGAGGCUGCUGGUAGCUUUUGGUCUUCUGGCUGUGAGGAGGCAAAGCUGGGUUUUGCUGUAGGGAGGAGAUGCAGGCGGCUUCGUGUCUCUUUGUCUUCAGAGUUUCAGGGUUUGCAAAACUUUGACAGAACUGUACGAAACUCUCCUCAUUCCUCCCCAGGGACAAUACAUUUCCAAAAGCUCCCAUGGACGGAAACGUCAACAAAAUAAUUCUCUGCCAGUACCAAAGGCAGUGCGGGAAGCAAAAUAAACAAGUAAAACCCAAGCCACACACACUGCCUGAG
ensembl:lncRNA